rnacentral:lncRNA from 1 species
GAGUUGUUGAUUCUGUUGUGCUUUAAAAAAAAUUUAUUGUUACCUCUCAAUCCCAACAACUUCUAGGAGUCACCGUUUGAUGUUCAUACGAAAUUCGUUAAAUCAGGGUUUUUUCCUUAGAAUCUUGUCUUAUGGGAACAUAUAUCUCACUGACAUCUAUAACUUACUGUUUACAUCUAACAGCUCAAGUCUGACAGUCUUUUAACCUGUUUUUAGUGCUAUCUAAAUUGAUCAUGAUGUCUAACAAUGGCAACUUUGUCAGAAUAACAUCUGCCAUCAAACCUAAAAGCCCGGUUGGGACAGAUACCAGUGUUAUUGGUUAUGCAGUUUUGCCUCUAAUUUUUCUCUCUACAAAUUUGUAUUGUGUUUAAUGGCAUGACUAUGACAGGACAAUGAGCGGUGCAUGCGAAGUUUUCUAAGCUAUCCGCCACUUGGUUCCCCACCCUAUAGAUAUGAGUAAUCUUUAUCUUUAUUGGAGCCUCAAA